rnacentral:rRNA from 1 species
CAGCGUAAAGGAUGCCUUGCACCCUUUCAAGUGAGCUGGCGGAACGGGCUGAGUAACACGUUGGAUAACCUACCUCAAGGCUUGGGGAUAACAUUUGGAAACAGAUGCUAAUACCGAAUAAAACUUCGUAUCGCAUGAUACAAGGUUAAAAGGCGCUACGACGUCACCUAGAGAUGGAUCCGCGGUGCAUUAGUUAGUUGGUGGGGUAAAGGCCUACCAAGACAAUGAUGCAUAGCCGAGUUGAGAGACUGAUCGGCCACAUUGGGACUGAGACACGGCCCAAACUCCUACGGGAGGCUGCAGUAGGGAAUCUUCCACAAUGGGCGAAAGCCUGAUGGAGCAACGCCGCGUGUGUGAUGAAGGCUUUCGGGUCGUAAAGCACUGUUGUAUGGGAAGAACAGCUAGAGUAGGGAAUGACUUUAGUUUGACGGUACCAUACCAGAAAGGGACGGCUAAAUACGUGCCAGCAGCCGCGGUAAUACGUAUGUCCCGAGCGUUAUCCGGAUUUAUUGGGCGUAAAGCGAGCGCAGACGGUUGAUUAAGUCUGAUGUGAAAGCCCGGAGCUCAACUCCGGAAAGGCAUUGGAAACUGGUCAACUUG